CAGUCGCCACGGGAAUACGAAGGGUGCAAGCGUUAAUCGGAAUUACUGGGCGUAAAGCGUGCGUAGGCGGUUUGUUAAGUCUGUUGUGAAAUCCCCGGGCUCAACCUGGGAAUGGCAAUGGAUACUGGCAAGCUAGAGUGUGUCAGAGGAUGGUGGAAUUCCCGGUGUAGCGGUGAAAUGCGUAGAGAUCGGGAGGAACAUCAGUGGCGAAGGCGGCCAUCUGGGACAACACUGACGCUGAGGCACGAAAGCGUGGGGAGCAAACAGGAUUAGAUACCCCCGUAGUCCCUGUCUCUUAUAA
rnacentral:rRNA from 1 species